CUCUGGAGAUCCCGCCACAUUAUGGCUUUGGCCAUACCGAGAGCUCUCCACUGAGAACGUCAGGCAGAAGAGACCUGGGGCUGGUUGCCUGAGUACUGCCAGGGGAAACGAGAAGAGGAGCAAGCAGUACAGUUGUCCUUAGAUAUGUUUCGAAGUGAUUGAUGCUACUUGUAAUAGAGUGCGGAAAAGUUCAAGGCGAAGAAACCAUAGCAGUAAAGAUAAUCAGGGAGCAAUGGAAACUUCAUCACCUCACUUCAGCGAUUGCUAGAGCAACAGUCAGAGGCUCAACAAGAGGCUGGAAGAACAUUGUGGUCUCCACCUCGCAGAAUAGCAGAUAUCUGGAGAAGACGCCAGGACAGCAGAAGAUGCUUUUUUUCUCAAGUGCGCGUGGAACAUUCCUUACAACAUUAGACACAAAAGGAAGCUUAGUUCAUCUACAAGGAUUAAAAAUACGACGUAUGUUCUAUGACCAUGAUUAAACGAGUUUGAAAAAAGAAUAUUAGAGCCUUCUGCAUUAAGAGGAGAAACGGGAUCUGCUCGGUGCUCCCACGUAGGGAUGCUUGGGACACGAUUUAGGAAAGAGCCUGAAUUCUUGGGGUCUAGGUUUCAUUAUCUGGGGCCUACUGCCUGCUGCGCUGUCUGCCACUGAUGCGUGUGGGAAACUGGCCAGAGAGAUCCCAGGGUGCGGUUGCAGUAUGGAGGAGAGGAUUUCUGUCGGGUCUGAUGAAUCUGGAGUCAAGCAUUUACCCUGAUAUUGGAAAGUUUCCAAGAGAUCUCGGCUCCGUCGUUGGCAGAACAGACAAAAUAUCCAGCCCAGCUAGAUCCAGUUCUGGAGGAUUCUGAACAACUUCCAAUGACCAGAUCUGUUUGUAGGACUGGAGGAAUAUGGUGGAGAACAUAAUCAGAAUAGAGAGGAAAAUAAGGUGAAGGAGCUGGGGACCGAACCCAGGGCCUUGUGCUUGCUAGGUUCAUUCGCAUCAAAGAAUCAGCCGACCAAAAUGUCAAAAUAAACAUUUAACUACUAAGUGAACAAAUUAAACUUCUUUAUGAUUUAAUUGCA